GCUGCCACUAGGGUCUGAAGGACAGAUAGGAAAGGCGCAUGCCAUACUGAAGACUCACAAGCCGUCAGCCGAUUCAAGGCUUGUUUUAAAACACCAAACCAAACUGUCAGAAAUGUCAAGAUUUGCCCAGCAACGGUCAGAGGAGGGGCGAAACUGGGAGCGGCUCCUCAUCAUUGGCGGAUUCCAGUGCCAAGAGGCUGGGACCAGCCUGUGCACUAGCCACGGUGACUCCCCCUCGUUAUUGACCAAUGAAGUUCUACCUACUAUUAUAAAUAUUGCACCCGCCGUCCGUUCGGGGCGACUCUAGACUACCCCGUGCUAUUAGAUGGCCGGCCUGUACGUUGAGUGCCCAUAGCUAUGUUGUAGCUUUUCAUUGCUUCUAAAUAAAUACUUUUUGAACCAAACCAAGACCGACUCUUCUCAUACCUAAGGAUAAAAGAACACGACAGUAAAAGGACGUCAGAAAUUCAUGGGCAUCCUGCAAACGGAGAAAUGCAGAGGGUUCAAUGCACAGAGGAUAAAAUCAGGACGAAGAAGACACAAGACAAACCAUCAAACUAGCCAACACACCUUCUGCCCCAUGUCCGAAAAUUCUGGAAACCUCUCAGCCACUUCCAUUUUGAAGUACAUGAGAACUGUAGCCUCGGGGACCAUCUUCCACGCAUCUUCCUGACAGCUGAUGUCUCUGAUGAACUCCAUCAGUGUGAGCAGACUCUGGAGGCUGGAGUUCAUGUAGCAGAUUUGAGCGGGGUUUGGAAACCUGUCAAGGAUGAAGGUGUUUGGCAAAAUGACUUGAAUUUACGAAAAUCCCAUAACAAGUGAAAACAGCUAGUGCUAGGUAUUUCUAUAAUUGAAGCUUGAGUAUGUAAUCAAACAGCCGGUGAUCAAUGAUCAGCUGAUUUUAUUUCUUGUAUGUGUGUUUAUGCAGAUUAACUCACCCAAGACAGUCCUGGCCACUGGUUCUCUCAGAGGAGGGAGACCCACCCAAGCAGUCACUACUGGUUAGAAGGCGACACAGACACGAAUGCCAGUCAACAUGACAGACAUGAGUGUAGCAUUUAUUCUCAAGUGACCCCUUUUGAGGAAUUUUUGACUAUAUAUUAAUGUAUAUUGUAUAUUACACAUCAUAUCUGUACAGGAGAAUAGUGCCUGUCUAAAUUUAACAGAUACUCCCUUCUCUCUCUAAGCGGUACCCAAGGUUAGGUUAAAGAUAAAGGGCCAACCAACAAUGCAUUGUAGCGUCUAUGUUGAGGGACUUUCAUAUCUAACUCAGAUGUGCCCGACAGAGAGACACCAACUUCAACUCUCACCAACUUUAAC